rnacentral:rRNA from 1 species
UACGGAGGGAGCUAGCGUUGCUCGGAAUCACUGGGCGUAAAGCGCACGUAGGCGGAUUGUUAAGUCAGGGGUGAAAUCCUGGAGCUCAACUCCAGAACUGCCUUUGAUACUGGCGAUCUGAGUCCGGGAGAGGUGAGUGGAACUGCGAGUGUAGAGGUGAAAUUCGUAGAUAUUCGCAAGAACACCAGUGGCGAAGGCGGCUCACUGGCCCGGUACUGACGCUGAGGUGCGAAAGCGUGGGGAGCAAACAGGG